CCUACGGGUGGGCAGCAGUGAGGAAUAUUGGUCAAUGGGCGGAAGCCUGAACCAGCCAAGUCGCGUGAGGGAAUAAGUCCCUACGGGUCGUAAACCUCUUUUUCCGGGGAGCAAGGGCGGGGACGUUUCCCGGCCCGGAGAGUACCCGGAGCAAAAGCAUCGGCUAACUCCGUGCCAGCAGCCGCGGUAAUACGGGGGAUGCGAGCGUUAUCCGGAUUUUUUGGGUUUAAAGGGUGCGUAGGCGGGCUUUUAAGUCAGCGGUAAAAAUUCGGGGCUCAACCCCGUCCGGCCGUUGAAACUGGGGGCCGGGAGUGGGCGAGAAGAAGGCGGAAUGCGUGGUGUAGCGGUGAAAUGCAGAGAUAGCACGAAGAACCCCGAUGGCGAAGGCAGCCUGCCGGCGCCCUACUGACGCGGAGGCACGAAAGUGCGGGGAUCGAACAGGAUUAGAUACCCUGGUAGUC
rnacentral:rRNA from 1 species